UCGCCUGUUUUAUCAAAAACAUAGCCUCCAGAUCCAACAUUAGAGGUAACUCUGCCCAUUGAAUCAACUUAAACGGCCGCAGUAUCCCUGACUGUGCUAAGGUAGCGCAAUCAAUUGCCUCUUAAUUAGAGGACAGUAUGAACGAAUCAACAAGAAAUUUUCUGUUUCUUCCUUAAUUACAGAAAUUAUUAUUUGGGUGCAAAAACCCAAAUCUUUUAUACAGACAAAAAGACCCUAUGAGCUUUUAUUUAAAAUCAAGCUCUUAACUGCUCCUAUAUUUGGUUGGGGCGACUGAAAGCACUAAACGCUUUCCAAUUUAAGAAACAUAAUUCUAACUAAUCUAUCCUUAUAGCAAACAAGUAAGUUACCAUAGGGAUAACAGACCAAUAUUUUUCAAGAGCACGAAUCUACAAAAGUGAUUGGCACCUCGAUGUUGGCUUAAGGCACCUCAUUUAUGCAGAAGUAAAUAGAGGGGGUUUGUUCAACCUAUUAUACCUUACAUGAUCUGACAACGAUUAAAGUC
rnacentral:rRNA from 1 species